rnacentral:rRNA from 1 species
CCUACGGGACGCAGAAGUAGGGAAUAUUAAAUAAUGGGGGUAAGCCUGAUGGAGCAACGCCGCGUGGGUGAAGAAGGUCUUCGGAUCGUAAAACCCUGUUGUUAGAGAAGAAAGUGCGUGAGAGUAACUGUUCACGUUUCGACGGUAUCUAACCAGAAAGCCACGGCUAACUACGUGCCAGCAGCCGCGGUAAUACGUAGGUGGCAAGCGUUAUCCGGAUUUAUUGGGCGUAAAGGGAACGCAGGCGGUCUUUUAAGGCUGAUGUGAAAGCAUUCGGCUUAACCGGAGUAGUGCAUUGGAAACUG